rnacentral:tRNA from 1 species
GGUAAUGUGGCCGAGAAUUAGGCGGCGAGUUGUAGCCUCGUAGACCGGGGACAAACCUCGCAGUACCAAGCC